UACAGAGGUCUCAAGCGUUUGUUCGGAUUCAUUGGGCGUAAAGGGGUGCGUAGGCGGCGCGGUAAGUCGGGGUGUGAAAAUCUCGGGAGCUUUAACUCCGAAAACUGCAUUUCGAUACUGCCGUGCUUGAGGACUGGAGAGGAGACUGGAAUUUACGGUGUAGCAGUGAAAUGCGUAGAGAUCAUGAGGAAGACCAGUGGCGGAAAGGCGGGUCUCUGGACAGUUCCUGACACUGAGA
rnacentral:rRNA from 1 species